CAGCCGCCGCGGUAAUACGAAGGGUGCAAACGUUGCUCGGAAUUAUUGGGCGUAAAGCGUGCGUAGGCGGUGAGUUAAGUCUGCUGUGAAAUCCCCGGGCUCAACCUGGGAAUGGCAGUGGAUACUGGCUCGCUAGAGUGUGUCAGAGGAUGGUGGAAUUCCCGGUGUAGCGGUGAAAUGCGUAGAGAUCGGGAGGAACAUCAGUGGCGAAGGCGGCCAUCUGGGACAACACUGACGCUGAGGCACGAAAGCGUGGGGAGCAAAUAGGAUUAGAUACCCCCGUAGUCCCUGUCUCUUAUAA
rnacentral:rRNA from 1 species